CUGGACGUCUCGCACACAAGCGGCGAGGGAGGUGCUGCCCGUGGACGCCAAAUGACUGCCAGAACUGCCUGCGUUACUGUGCAUGCCACAGCAUCAGGAUACAGGACAGAUGUGAAGUUAGAAUGCUUCAACAACUCAACAUUAUCUCACUGUAAUAUUCCCAUUUAUUGUAAAAUAACUUCAAAAUUGUGAUUUAGUGCUCGUUUGUCGAGUGACAAACACUAAUAUGACAACUGUCUGGUACUGACAGACAUCCUGCUAUUUCUACUUUGAUGGUCCAUUAUCACAGCGAAAUGUAACGUGUUGUUCCAUGAUGACGCAAAACCAACUAAGCUACUAAACCUGUUUGAAGAUCAAGGGGGUAAAUAUAAGUCAUCGCAAGAUCAUAAGAAAAUUAACACGAGAGAACUUCAUUAUAAUGAAAUCGCAAGAAAAUAAGUCAUGAUCUCGAGAUAAUAGGGAGGAAGACAUAAUGAUGCUACGUGCACUCUCUGAAAUGCCAUUCAAAAGACCAUUUAUCUAAAAAGUACCAAAACAGAUUUAUAAGGCCUAUAUCAUUCUGUCCUUUGAUUGUACUUCCCAAGAUAGUUACUGACAUUUAGAUGGGAUUUUCACUUAUGCAUCCCAUCCAUCUUCCGUAACUGUCUAUCCAGUACAGGACCCCAGA